CAACCCCAGCCCUGACUCCAAACCCAGGGUCCUAGGCCUGAACUGCCCAGCCUUGCCCAGCCUGAGGCUCCCCUGACUGGGGAUCCCAUCUCGGGGGCAGGAAGGAGAUCCUGCAGGAAUACCUGGAGAUUAGCAGCCUGGUGCAGGAUGAGGUGGUGGCCAUUCACCGGGAGAUGGCUGCAGCUGCUGCCCGCAUCCAGCCUGAGGCUGAGUACCAAGGCUUCCUGCGACAGUAUGGGUAAGCCCCGUCCUUGCUCCUGCUGGGCCCAGGGCUGCUGGCCUGUCCACUGACGGGGCGCUGUCCCCCACAGGUCCGCACCUGACGUCCCACCCUGCGUCACAUUCGAUGAGUCACUGCUUGAGGAGGGUGAACCGCUGGAGCCUGGGGAGCUCCAGCUGAACGAGCUGACUGUGGAGAGCGUGCAGCACACGCUGACCUCAGUGACAGAUGAGCUGGCUGUGGCCACCGAGAUGGUGUUCAGGCGGCAGGAGAUGGUUACGCAGCUGCAACAGGAGCUCCGGAAAGAAGAG
rnacentral:sRNA from 1 species